UGCCAGCAGCCGCGGUAAUACGAAGGGUGCUAGCGUUGUUCGGAAUUACUGGGCGUAAAGAGCAUGUAGGCGGAUGAAUUAGUCAGAGGUGAAAGCCCCGAGCUCAACUUGGGAACUGCCUUUGAUACUGUUUAUCUAGAGUCCGAGAGAGGUUAGUGGAAUUCCCAGUGUAGAGGUGAAAUUCGUAGAUAUCUGGAGGAACAUCAGUGGCGAAGGCGGCUCCCUGGCCAAAGACUGACGCUCAUGUGCGAAAGUGUGGGUAGCGAACGGGAUUAGAUA
rnacentral:rRNA from 1 species